rnacentral:rRNA from 1 species
AGGGUGAACGCUGGCGGCGUGCUUAAGACAUGCAAGUCGAACGAGGUCUUCGGGCCUAGUGGCGCACGGGUGAGUAACGCGUAACUGACCUACCUCCAAGUUCAGCAUAACGUCUCGAAAGAGACGCUAAUUCUGAAUGUGAUCCAGAAUCGUGUUUCUGUGAUUAAAGAAUUUCGCUUGGAGAUGGGGUUGCGUGCCAUCAGCUAGUUGGUGGGGUAAAGGCCUACCAAGGCGACGACGGCUAACCGGCCUGAGAGGGUGGCCGGUCACAGGGGCACUGAGACACGGGUCCCACUCCUACGGGAGGCAGCAGUUAGGAAUCUUCCACAAUGGGCGCAAGCCUGAUGGAGCGACGCCGCGUGAGGGAUGAAGGUUUUCGGAUCGUAAACCUCUGAAUCAGGGACGAAAGACCAGCUUGACUGGAGAUGACGGUACCUGAGUAAUAGCACCGGCUAACUCCGCGCCAGCAGCCGCGGU